UACGGAGGGGGCCAGCGUUGUUCGGAAUUAUUGGGCGUAAAGGGCGCGUAGGCGGCCGGAUAAGUCUGACGUGAAAUCCCUCGGCCCAACCGAGGAACUGCGUUUGAAACUGUCCGGCUUGAGUCCGGGAGAGGGUAGUGGAAUUCCCAGUGUAGCGGUGAAAUGCGUAGAUAUUGGGAGGAACACCGGUGGCGAAGGCGGCUACCUGGACCGGUACUGACGCUGAGGUGCGAAAGCCAGGGGAGCAAACAGG
rnacentral:rRNA from 1 species